rfam:Picea glauca, whole genome shotgun sequence.
AUGUACAUUCCUACAACAUAGAAUUAAUGCAUCAAAUCCUAUUAGAACUCUACAUUUAAGCGCGCUUAGGCUAGAGUAGUACUGGGAUGGGUGACCGCCCAGGAAGUCCUAGUGUUUUACAUG